GUGCCAGCAGCCGCGGUAAUACGUAGGGUGCGAGCGUUGUCCGGAAUUACUGGGCGUAAAGAGCUCGUAGGUGGUUUGUCGCGUCGUCUGUGAAAUUCCGGGGCUUAACUCCGGGCGUGCAGGCGAUACGGGCUGACUUGAGUGCUGUAGGGGAGACUGGAAUUCCUGGUGUAGCGGUGAAAUGCGCAGAUAUCAGGAGGAACACCGAUGGCGAAGGCAGGUCUCUGGGCAGUAACUGACGCUGAGGAGCGAAAGCAUGGGUAGCGAACAGGAUUAGAUACCCUGGUAGUCCAUGCCGUAAACGGUGGGCGCUAGGUGUAGGGGGCUUCCACGUCUUCUGUGCCAUAGCUAACGCAUUAAGCGCCCCGCCUGGGGAGUACGGCCGCAAGGCUAAAACUCAAAGGAAUUGACGGGGGCCCGCACAAGCGGCGGAGCAUGUGGAUUAAUUCGAUGCAACGCGAAGAACCUUACCUGGGCUUGACAUACACCGGAUCGGGCUAGAGAUAGUCUUUCCCUUUGUGGCUGGUGUACAGGUGGUGCAUGGUUGUCGUCAGCUCGUGUCGUGAGAUGUUGGGUUAAGUCCCGCAACGAGCGCAACCCUUGUCUUAUGUUGCCAGCAUUUGGUUGGGGACUCAUGAGAGACUGCCGGGGUCAACUCGGAGGAAGGUGGGGAUGACGUCAAAUCAUCAUGCCCCUUAUGUCCAGGGCUUCACACAUGCUACAAUGGUCGGUACAGUGGGUUGCGAUGCCGUGAGGUGGAGCUAAUCCCUUAAAGCCGGUCUCAGUUCGGAUUGGAGUCUGCAACUCGACUCCAUGAAGUCGGAGUCGCUAGUAAUCGCAGAUCAGCAACGCUGCGGUGAAUACGUUCCCGGGCCUUGUACACACCGCCCGUCACGUCAUGAAAGUUGGUAACACCCGAAGCCAGUGGCCCAAACUCGUUAGGGAGCUGUCGAAGGUGGGAUCGGCGAUUGGGACGAAGUCGUAACAAGGUA
rnacentral:rRNA from 1 species